CGGGGGGGGCAAGCGUUGUUCGGAAUUACUGGGCGUAAAGGGUGCGUAGGCGGCUUUCUAAGUUGGAUGUGAAAACUCUGGGCUCAACCCAGAGCCUGCAUCCAAAACUGGAGAGCUAGGGUUCUGGAGGGGAAAGCGGAAUUCCUGGUGUAGCGGUGAAAUGCGUAGAUAUCAGGAGGAACACCGGUGGCGAAGGCGGCUUUCUGGACAGAUACCGACGCUGAGGCACGAAAGCUAGGGGAGCAAACAGGAUUAGAUACCCUGGUAGUCCUAGCCCUAAACGAUGGAUACUUGCUGUGGGGGGGAUUGAAGCCCCUUGUGGCGAAGCUAACGCAUUAAGUAUCCCGCCUGGGGAGUACGGUCGCAAGGCUG
rnacentral:rRNA from 1 species